rnacentral:lncRNA from 1 species
GCUGACGUGAGAACACAGAUGCUUUUUUAAGGAAAUAAGUAUAUAAAGAGAAGAGCUGAUGGUUGAGAAUUGGCAAGAGAGAGGAGGAAGACAGAGUGAAUGAAGCAGAAGAUCAUUUAGAGGCCUCAGCAGGUGAUGAGAAAGGCAUGAGAACAAGCUGGAAGGAGAAUGAGGCACCGAGAGGCCCAAGCUGAAAGAAAUAAAGACUUCCAGUACAUCACCCUGACAGUAAAGAGCGAAGGAAAAGUGACGUCUGCUUCAAGACUAGUAAGGAAAUGGAAAUGUCAGAACACAGUAGCUGGGUUGCUAAGGUGUGUGGAACAAAAUAAGACAUCUAUGCAUUGAAAGGGAGAUUGUCAUCUAGAAAGACAAUGGAAUUCAUCCCAUUAAUGGAAAUAUGUAAUUAACAAGCUGCUGGUGUCAGUCUGUAGUGAGAACCCUGGCUUGGGCUCUUGCCUCCUAUAGAGUGGUAGUCUUGUCAAUGUCUUCUGGCUCCUUGUGGGGGUUGCACAGAUACAAGUGCAAAGAGGAAAUCUGCCUCC